rnacentral:rRNA from 1 species
GACGAACGCUGGCGGCGUGCUUAACACAUGCAAGUCGAACGGAAAGGCCCUGCUUUUGUGGGGUGCUCGAGUGGCGAACGGGUGAGUAACACGUGAGUAACCUGCCCUUGACUUUGGGAUAACUUCAGGAAACUGGGGCUAAUACCGGAUAGGAGAUCAUGCUGCAUGGUGGGGGUUGGAAAGUUUCGGCGGUUGGGGAUGGACUCGCGGCUUAUCAGCUUGUUGGUGGGGUAGUGGCUUACCAAGGAUUUGACUGGUAGCCGGCCUGAGAGGGUGACCGGCCACAUUGGGACUGAGAGACGGCCCAGACGCCUACGGUAGGCAGCAGUGGGGAAUAUUGCUCAAUGGGCGGAAGCCGGAUGCAGCAACGCCGCGUGCGGGAUGACGGCUUGCGGGGUGUAAACCGCUUUCGCCUGUGACGAAGCGUGAGUGACGGUAAUGGAUAAAGAAGCACCGGCUAACUACGUG